UAAAACUAAACAAUCACUUUUGUUUGUAAAUCAAUGGUGUGGUCAGUAAAGAAAACAAAAUGAAUUAAUUAAAUUCAUUAAUAUUAAUUGAGCAGAACUACAAUAUUAUUCUCGUGAAGCUCGCGGAGCAGUUUGAGAACCGCUGCAGGGGUUGUAGGUAAGUUUGAUUUUACACUGUUUAUUUCACCCGUAAGUUCGGGGAAAUGUUAUUAUGCCAUCGGUCCCAUCUUAAUGAAACCACUCGAUAAACCCAUCUUAUGUAGUAAAUCUCUGAUUAAUGUUAUAAUAAAAUAUUUCACGAAAUGCUUAAUUUUAUAUUCUUGGUGUAUGAAUAAAUAAUUUGGCUUA